rnacentral:rRNA from 1 species
GGUCUGGUGGCGAGUGGCGAACGGGUGAGUAAUGUAUCGGAACGUGCCUAGUAGCGGGGGAUAACUACGCGAAAGCGUAGCUAAUACCGCAUACGCCCUACGGGGGAAAGCAGGGGAUCGCAAGACCUUGCACUAUUAGAGCGGCCGAUAUCGGAUUAGCUAGUUGGUGGGGUAACGGCUCACCAAGGCGACGAUCCGUAGCUGGUUUGAGAGGACGACCAGCCACACUGGGACUGAGACACGGCCCAGACUCCUACGGGAGGCAGCAGUGGGGAAUUUUGGACAAUGGGGGAAACCCUGAUCCAGCCAUCCCGCGUGUGCGAUGAAGGCCUUCGGGUUGUAAAGCACUUUUGGCAGGAAAGAAACGUCAUGGGCUAAUACCCCGUGAAACUGACGGUACCUGCAGAAUAAGCACCGGCUAACUACGUGCCAGCAGCCGCGGUAAUACGUAGGGUGCAAGCGUUAAUCGGAAUUACUGGGCGUAAAGCGUGCGCAGGCGGUUCGGAAAGAAAGAUGUGAAAUCCCAGAGCUUAACUUUGGAACUGCAUUUUUAACUACCGAGCUAGAGUGUGUCAGAGGGAGGUGGAAUUCCGCGUGUAGCAGUGAAAUGCGUAGAUAUGCGGAGGAACACCGAUGGCGAAGGCAGCCUCCUGGGAUAACACUGACGCUCA